GACGAACGCUGGCGGCGUGCUUAACACAUGCAAGUCGAACGGAAAGGCCCUGCUUUUGUGGGGUGCUCGAGUGGCGAACGGGUGAGUAACACGUGAGUAACCUGCCCUUGACUUUGGGAUAACUUCAGGAAACUGGGGCUAAUACCGGAUAGGAGCUCCUGCUGCAUGGGGGGGGGUGGAAAGUUUCGGCGGUUGGGGAUGGACUCGCGGCUUAUCAGCUUGUUGGUGGGGUAUUGGCUUACCAAGGCUUUGACGGGUAGCCGGCCUGAGAGGGUGACCGGCCACAUUGGGACUGAGAUACGGCCCAGACUCCUACGGGAGGCAGCAGUGGGGAAUAUUGCACAAUGGGCGGAAGCCUGAUGCAGCAACGCCGCGUGCGGGAUGACGGCCUUCGGGUUGUAAACCGCUUUCGCCUGUGACGAAGCGUGAGUGACGGUAAUGGGUAAAGAAGCACCGGCUAACUACGUG
rnacentral:rRNA from 1 species